AGUGAACGCUGGCGGUAGGCCUAACACAUGCAAGUCGAACGGCAGCACAGUAAGAGCUUGCUCUUACGGGUGGCGAGUGGCGGACGGGUGAGGAAUAUAUCGGAAUCUACUUUUUCGUGGGGGAUAACGUAGGGAAACUUACGCUAAUACCGCAUACGACCUACGGGUGAAAGCAGGGGAUCUUCGGACCUUGCGCGAUUGAAUGAGCCGAUGUCGGAUUAGCUAGUUGGCGGGGUAAAGGCCCACCAAGGCGACGAUCCGUAGCUAGUCUGAGAGGAUGAUCAGCCACACUGGAACUGAGACACGGUCCAGACUCCUACGGGAGGCAGCAGUGGGGAAUAUUGGACAAUGGGCGCAAGCCUGAUCCAGCCAUACCGCGUGGGUGAAGAAGGCCUUCGGGUUGUAAAGCCCUUUUGUUGGGAAAGAAAAGCAGCAGGUUAAUACCCCGCUGUUCUGACGGUACCCAAAGAAUAAGCACCGGCUAACUUCGUG
rnacentral:rRNA from 1 species